rnacentral:other from 1 species
UAAUCCCUGCUGUGUACGUAUAAUGCCGAUCAAGUUUUGAGCCAACACAUUAACAAGGGGAACCGGACUCUGGUUGUGGCGUGUAUGCCCUUGACCGGGACACAUAAGACAAUCAGGAGGCUCCCACCUGCCUGGGGCAGGUUCAAAACAGCGGCGAUACGGCACGGUGGGGUUUUU